GAGACAGCACUGGCCUCUGGGUCUUAGGUCACCCCAUGACGGUAGAGGCAGAAAUGGGUGGUGUUUUUUUAGUAAGUGGAUACCCCCACUUGCUAACCAUGUCAAGUUGAACGGCUGAAGCCAGCAUCCAGCCCUGGGAAGGUGAACCCUUGUCUUGGGGUCUUCUCUUGGUAGUCAUGUGACAGAAGCCUGGUAAUUCAGAGGGGGUCCCAUAAGCCUACCUCCCCAGGAUCACACUUCUGUCCUGCACCCCAGUAUCUACACUCCAAUGUUUUGAUUGGGGACAGCUGGAGCAGAUCCAAAGACUUACUGGCCAUGGAGAGUCUCAGCAUUUAUUCUAAGUCUCUAGCUCCCACAGUCCUCCCCCCUCCAGUGCUCCCCAAGACCUGACCCAACCUGUUCAGUGACAGCCUUGUGCCAGGUAUGUCCCCUCUAGUCCUAUGGACUACUGGACCUUGGUGUUACCUCAGGCCAGCUGGGGCCUCUGCAGCCAGACAUGGUGUGUGGGCUCUCGGAGCCCUGCUCUGCUCUGAGGACGAGAGAGGCCCCGCGCAGAGCAGCAACCUUAAUCUGGAUGCAAUUAGAGGAAACCAGCCAAAUGCCCUGUGGCAGCUGUUACCCCAGGAUUAUUCCCAGUCAGCAAAAGGCAUUAGAGUGAUAAUUCAGUCAUUAGACUUCUAGCUGUCUCACAGCCAGGACGUACAAAUCACGGGUAAUCAGCAAGUACACCGUCCCCUGGCCACGAGGCUUAUUUAACCCAUUUUUUUAAAAAAAUGAUGCUUAAUGCUAUUGGCCGGGCGCAUCUGUGUGCGCAUGCCCCACCGAUAAUGUCUGUGCUGACGACAUUGCUUAAUGUCACCAAGGCCUUGUCAUCUAGGGCUCUGGGAGAGAAGGACGCCUUUGAUGUGCGUGUGUGCUGUCACUGCUGAGACAUGAUGCCUACCUUGGAAAGGGCGCCCUCACUUCUGACUCACCCUCCAAGGAGAAGGGAGAGGGCAAGGGAGGGGGCAGCAGCAGAAUGUGUCCUCCUCUCUCUGGGUUAGAGGAUGUCUUCACUGGGCACAGGAAAGACAUUGCCUGCCUAGAAAGUUGCACCUGGAGUGCCAGCCAAGAGGCCUAGCUGUUUCUGCAGAGGAGGGCCGAAGUCCCCAGAGAGGCUCUGUUAGUAACCUUGAGCUGGGCGAUCUGUUGCAGAGCUAUGUGGUUGCUGAUCAAACCGACCCGGGUUAGGGAGGGGCACAUGCUACAUUCAGAAGGGGAUGACUGGGGGCCUGGCUUUGAGUGCAGGACACCAGCCCAAGAGAGGCUCUGGAGCUGGUGCCUUCGAUGGCCAGGGCAGGAUGGCAGUAAAUAAGUGGGAAGAGGAAUGCUUGCUGUCAGGGUCAGCUCCUGAAAGGCUCCUUUGACCUCUGGCCUGUAUUUGUGUUUUCCUUACUGCUUUGCUGGGGUUUUGCUGUGCUGGGGAGGGGGGAGUAGGGGGUGCAGUACGUGGAACUUGCUAGGCCAUAAGCGAUGCAGUCGUCUUUGACAACAUUAAUUUAGAUGGCGAUCAACCCCAGGGUUCCUGGAAUCCACCUGUGACCUCCCUCCGCUCUGUCAGUUCCCUUCUACUGCAGUCAGGCCAGGAGUGUCAGGCAUACCCGGGGCUGGCCAGACAGAGGGAAGGAACCUGGCAGAGAUCCCUGGAGGCCACCCUGCCUAGAACGGAGACGAUGAUGACAGGUUCCCCCAGAAAACUUAUGCAGGGCUAUGCUAUGGCCUGGGUUAUAGGGGAGCCAGGACUGCCACCCAGCUGGGCCACCAGAGACGACAUAGGGAAACUGGCUAGCCUGAGGCUGGACCUGGCAGAUCCCUGGAGUCUCUGAAGAGACAAGUGGCCUCUGGGUGUUAGUGUUGUGUUUCUACAGAAGCUGUGAUGUGUUUUGUCAUGGGCUAGCCUGGUCUAGCCGGAUUGUGACACCCCAAAUCUAAGAAGCCAGUUUCUCCCAGAGCUUCUGCAGCAGGGAGCAAGGGGUUCCCCCAGCCCACUUCCUUGCCUAUAAAAGGAGAACAAGGCCCUCCCACAGACUCCUUCAAAAGACUUCUCUGAGGCUGCCAUGAGGGUGGCUAACUAUGGCCCAGGGACUUCACCCGCCACUCAGGGACGAGCCCACUGGCCUUAGCCUUCCGCAGCAUUGACCGAGAGGGGUUGUCCACUCCCAGUCGAAUGCCCUCCCAGGUCUGAAGUCAGCAAACCAAUGCCUCUCCUGCACUUCUACCUUGCUGAGUGUCCUCCGCAGAGGGCAAAUCUCUCUGUAACGUUCACUCUGUGCCACCCACGCCUACCCUGAAGAAAAAUGAGCCACAAAGCCGCCUCAGCGGUCUCGGUCUGCGCCUAGCUAUGCACAUAGGUGUUUGCAGAGCUCUUCCAUGGACGGCCCUCGGAGGGGGAGACCCUUUCUGAGGACUCUGCACUUUCUGAGCAGCUGCGUGCAGAUGCCUGCUGCCACCAGGCCUUUAAAUACAUUGUGUUCAAUUCCAGGUGGGAAGAUAGCAUUUCAGGUUUGCAGAAAUCAAGUCACAUGACUGUCUUCCUUCCACACUUUGAGGAUAAGGAGGACAGCUUUUUUGUGUGUUUCGUUUUGUUUUUAAAGUAAGGAAAUACCCCCAUUGCUGAUGUCUAUAGCAAGUGAUUCGUUUCUCUGUUGCAUUUUGUUUUUUUAAGCAGUCCCCUUCCGGUCAAGGUCAGGACUGGUCACCAUGACCCCUGUGAAUAAUGAUUCUCAUGGAUUCCUCACAAAACAAAUAAAAUAGUAUCACC
rnacentral:lncRNA from 1 species